rnacentral:lncRNA from 1 species
AUAUUCCUUCCGAUUUGUUGAUCUAGAAAGAUCAAUCCCUGUACCCAUCUUCUCUUUUAUUCUUCCAUGAAUUUUAUUUUUGGUCAUAUCACAUUCCAUAAGGAAUAUGCACCGGACAAAUCCAGUUUUCAGUGAUUUUUGCCACCAAUUCCGCCACGGGGUUGCUGGUAAUGAAAAGACACGACGAUUCCAAGACUUAUAAGUACAUAUAUUCCUUCUCUUUACCAAAAAAACCUGUUUAGAUGAUUAGAUAUUAUGAGUGGCAUGCAUUUUCUUCAUUGGUGUUUUUACUAUAACGCACUGUAUCUUAGGGUAAAUGUCAGAUCGGAAACUAAGGUAUGGCGCUUGCAGAGGUGGCAAUCUUGUAGACUGGUAAGUAUUUGCUUCUUCCUUUGAUCAUUACAAAGCUUUCAUCAUAUUGCUAUCUUCCCAAAUAAAACGGGACAAAGGGUCGAGCAAGGUUAACACUUGUUGUAUAAAAAUGGGUAAACUACCAAAAUAGUCACUUAUGUUUGAAAUGCUACGUUUUAGUCACAUCGUUAUUGUGUUGUAAUAUUUUAGUCAUUGAUAGGGGUGAGCAAAACUCGAUUCGACUAAAAAAAAUCGAAUUUCGAGUUAUUCGAAUUAAUCGAGUCAACUCGAAUUUUUUUUUGAAUUUCGAGUUUGGUUUUCAAAUUAGAAUAAUUCGAAUAAACUGAAUAACAAACUAUAAUAUUUUACAUUUUUACCCCAAACACCCAAACCUCUUUACUUUCCCCAAAACUUUUACUUCUCUCCCAUCCGUUGUAGUAACCUUUUCUAAUAACAGUGUAGUACUGAUUUCUAUGUUUUAUUUUUGUAUUUUAUAACAACAACAAUUGUAAUUUUUGAACUACGCUCUACUAAUUCAGUUCUCUACAUUAGUCUCUUGUUUUAUAUUUUACUAAAACUGAAAUAAGUUAAGAUAUUAUUUCUUUAAAUUUUAUAUAAAAAUAUAUUAAUCAAAUUUUGUAAAAAUUUAAUUAAAGUUUCGAUAUAAAUCUCAAAUGUUGUUAUAGAUGUACAAUAACCACGUUUCCAUAACAUUCAAAAUUUUGACAAAUAAAUAAGACCGGUAUAAAAAAGAUAAGGUAUUAAAUUUGAGGUUUAAAAGUUUCUACCAAGUAAUUGUAUACAGAAUUUGUAUUUGGUAUGUUAUACCUCUUUUAAAACAAAUACAUAUAAUUAACUUUUUUGAAUGGUUAAAAAAUGCAUAAUAUCAAAAUUUAAAUUUAUGCAUUAAAUCAUUUUCAUUAAAUAUAAAUCCUUAUAUAUAUUUAAAAGAAAUGUGAGUAAUAUGUGUUUAGACCUUCAUAUGAUUUUUGAGUAAUAUUCCUUCAUAAGUCAUAGUUUUUUGAAAUCCAUUUAUUUUUGGCUAAUACAUUAAAAAUCCCAUAAACUAGCAUACUUUGUUCAAGUAAGUCCUUAUUUUAAUAAAAUAAACCCUUAUUCUUUGCUUUUUUUUUUAUGCAUGAAACCUCUUUUUAAACUAAAAGUAAGAACACUUUUUUUUUAAAUAAAAUAUAAGUAAACUAUGUUAGAAUUUUAAUAUAAUAUUAGAUUAAGGCACAUCCAUAAUAUUAGAGAAAAAAAUGUGUAAAUAAUAAAUAAAGUUUUGAUUGAAACGGUAAAGUUGACUUUUUGAAGACCAUAAUGUCUUAGGUUAAAGUCCUAUACCUUGUGUGGUGUUUUUCUAGAUUUAUUUUGUGUAAAAGGCAAAAACACACUUUUAAUAACAUUUACCAAUUUAGUAUUCAGUUCACUUAUGACACCAAUUCAAUUGACCACUUAAAUAUAAUAUAAAUAGACGGAUGAAAAUAUCUGUAUGAUAAAUUUUAGAUUAAAAAAACUCAUUCAUAUUUACUUGUUUACCCUUUUUUUUCACUAGAUAGACAAAACUUAUUUAUGUUGAUAAAAUUGAUAAAAUAAAAUCAACAUCUAGAAAAAUGAAUUUUAAAAAUGUAAACCACAAUAUAUAAAAUUGGCCGCCUAAUUUUCAUAAGUUUUCAUUUUGGGUAUCAAAAAUAUAAUAAAAAUUGCAAAUUGAGCAUUAUUGUUAACAACUAUUUUUAUUUUUCGUUGCUUUCAUUAAUUCAAUUUUAUUGUAUACUCAUUUUAGUCACCCAAUUUUAUUAAGUUUUAUUUUGGUCACUCAUUUGCUUUUAAAAAUAUUAAUUUUGUUUUGGUUAAAAUGUCCCAGAAAUCACUGUACUUUUCAAAAAGUAGGAAUUUGGUCCCUAUACUUUUAUUUCAUGAAAUUUAGUCCAUUUACUUUUCAGAUUCCAAAAUCCAGGUCCAACCGUUAGCACAACUAAAUUCAUUUUGUUAAAUUUGUUGCUGUGACAUUUCUUAAAUAAAAGAAAUAUUCACUAGGUAGUCAUGUAAUUAAAAAAAAUGACUUUGUAAUUAAUUUGAAUUUCAUAAAAAUGAUAUAACAGUGUUAACAAUUUGACCUAAAUUUUAAAAUUAGAAAAGUAGAUGGACUAAAUUCCAUGAAAUAAAAGUAUAGGGACUAAAUUUCCAAUUUUUAAAAAGUAUAAAGACUUUUGGCACAUUUUAACCUUUUAUUUUUUUCCAAAAAAACUUUUGUUUAAAUAAGAAAUUAAGCUAUUAGGCUAUGAAGAUGAAACCCAAGUUUUCCCUUUAACUCAAAUUAUUUGUAAAAACUCACUCUUUUUUUUUUUUUUAUGUUUUGUAAAACCCUAUAUUUCUCCUUGAAGAAACCCAAGUUUUUUUUUCCUUUUUACGGGAAAAACCUAUACAUUAAUUCUAAAAAAUGAAAAUAAAUAAAGAAAAUUAAAAAAUAAAAUGGUUUUUCCUAAAAAAAUCUAAGUAAUUUUCUAUAAAACCUUAGGUUUUUUCAUUCUUACUAGGAAAAACUAAAAUUAAUUCUAAAAAAUAAUAAAUGAAAUUAAAAAGAUAAAUUGAUUUUUCCUAUAACAAUCCAGAUAAAUCCUUUUAAAAUACCAUGUUUUUCCCUUUUACUGAAAAAAUUAAAAUUAAUUCUAAAAAAGUGAAAUAAUUAAGGAAAUUAAAAAGAUAUAAUGGUUUUUUCUAUCAAACUUCAGGUUUUUCCUGUAAAAAUUCAAGUUUUUCCUUUAAAAACCUAAGUAAUUCCCUAUAAAACAUCAAAUUUUCCCUUUUACUAGAAAAAAAUUAAAAUUAAUUUUAAAAAAAUAAAAUAAGAAAAUAAAGUUUUAGAAAGAGAAAAUGAGUGACCAAAAUGAAAAUGUUUAGAGUUGGGUGACUAAAUGAAAAUGGUUUAUUAACGGUAGUGUCCAAUUUGCAAAUUUUUUUUAUUUUCAGUGCCCAAAAUAAAAACUUCUGAAAGUUGUGUGACCAAUUGUGCAGUUUACCCUUUUAAAAUCAUGAAUGAAAAUGAAAAAUGCAUUAAAAUCAUGGAUACAUGGAGUAAUUUAUUAAAGAAAAAACUAUAAAUUUGUUAAGAAAUAAAACAGAAAUUAAAUCAAAGAAAUAUUAUUUUAAUGAAUUUCAUAAAUACCUAAUGGAUCCCCUUCUCAUGUAAACAUAAACCACCUAAUUUGCUUGAGGAACCACUAACUUCUACAAUACUUUGAAGGAAUAAAAGAAAUUUAGACUCGACUCAAUUCAUGAAAAAUUUUAUACAUUUUUUACGUAAGGGUAUAGGAAUGAGUUGUCUAGAUUUAAACUUGAGAUUCAAUGAUAACAAAUAAUUUAUCAUUACAUUAGUAGCUAAUUAACCAAACAAGUCUUUACUUUAUCUAAUAAUCAAUGUUUUUUUUUUUUUGAAAUAAUAAUCAAUAGAGUUGGGUUUUCAAAUAAAACCAUUAAUUAUUUCUUAUUCCUUCAUCCUUUAAAUUCUUUAUCGACAUUGUGAUUAGUUACCUUUAACUAAGAAGGUUAAUCCACAAGAGAAAGGAUUGUAUGAAAUUGUGAUUCCAUAUGAUCCUCAUCCCUUUCCAAUAGGAGAAAAAAGCUGAGAAUCAAGAGGAAAAAUUUGAUUUUUCAUUCUCCAAUUGAAAAGGAAUAAGGAUAACAUGGAAUUACAGUUUCAUACAAUCCUUUCUCUAUUCGACAAAGGACCAAAACCAAUGAAAUAGGCUAUUUUUUCUACUCACAUAGCAUUCAAAGCAUGCUUGUAUAUUACAUGACAGUGCAUAUACUCAAAAAAAUAAAAGAAAAAGAAAAUUAAUAAUAUAUACUCAAAAUAAAUCACUUAAUUAAUUUCUAUAUGCUAGCUAUAAAUUCAAACUUAAGUAGUAAGGGAGUAAUUAAGCUAAUGCUAAGAUUUGAGUGAAUUAUUUUAAUAGAUUAUAGUAUAUAAUUUACAUGAUUUCAGAGAGCUUCCAAUUUUGCUAAUAGUUCAUCAAAAGAACUCUAACGACUCAAACUCAGACUACACUUGAGACGAUCAUUAGACUAACACGGAGUUCUAUAUGUACAGCCUUUCUAUUUAAAAUUAGAUUUUCUAUAUGCAAAAACAGUAUCAUAUUUUGGCUCAAAUAUUUUUUAUAAUACUUUAUACCCUGUAUCACUUUGAUUAUCAAUUUAGCUUUCAUUUUACAAGUUUUUUUACAGACCAUGAUUUUAGCAUAAAUAUAAUCUGAAUAUGUUUUGUGAAAAGGAAAAAAAAUAAAAGCUAUACCAUCUUACAGUUCUUUAAAGCAAUAGAUCCUUAAUAAUUAGAUAUUUCAAUAUACAUCUAGUCAGCCAGUGAUGAGUUAUAGAUUUAAUAUUUUUUAUAAAAAUGCUUUAGCUUUAAAAGCUAGUUAACCCUACACUGUAUAUAUUAUACACGACCUUGAAGUUUGAACAAGUUUUGGUUAAUACUGAAGGUGGGAAAUGGAGGAUCUGAGGAUGAAAGCUUCUUCUAUAAAGGUAAUUACUUUAUUAAUUGAAAAGAAAAAUAUGGUUGACAAGCAUUAGGGUUUAAACUUUAAAGUGUCAAAAUUUACAACUCACACAGCAACUAAAAUAUACUAUAUAUAAGAUUCGAUAGUUAAGUGGAAAUGAGAGGCUGCUAUAUUUGUAAUAAUAAUAAUAAUAAUAAUAUGCAUGCUAUUAAGAUUGAUAAGGCAUUACCUGAAUAGUUAAUCAGUGUUAAAGCAAAGGAAAAAACACACACACAUAUAUAUAUAUAUUCUUGACAAAAAUUAAGAAUUAUUGAUUAUGAUUGAUUGUUUUGGCAUUAUUGGGAAGAAAAAACAUUCUGCUUUGAAGUGUGUUUAUUUAUUGAGUCUUGGCAUUGUUUAAUGGAUAAUAAUCCUUGUUUAAUUUUGUGUGGUUGAUAAUUUUAUAUAUAAAGAUACCCUUAAACUACAAUUUUCUCACCUUGAUAUAAUUAUCUUGAUGCAUACUUCUUCCAAUAUAAUAAUAUAACUAAAAAUAAUUAAAAUUAGAGAGAGAGAGAGAGAGGUGGAAAAUGAUAGUUGAUCAACCAAAAGCUUUAGACACCCAAGAACAAGAAAGGGUAAUAAAAGAAUCACUCAGUUAACAGGAAAUGACUCCAAAUUGUAUGUAAAAUAGAUGCAUAUAUAUAGGAAUAGAAAUCACCAACAUUAACUAUACAAAUACUUUAAAAUACCAUGACACAGAUUUUGCAAGUUUCUUCACUUAGUACUACUGAUCAUCACUUUCUGUUUAGGAACUGUUUCAGCUGGCUAUAUAUCUAUAUAUGCUUUCUACAGAAAUAAAAUACUCACCCAUCUCUGUAUAGACCAAAUUUAUCCUCUUCUUUUUCUUUUUCUUUUUAAUUAUGUUCCUUGGAUUUAUUUAUAUAUAUUGAAGUGAUAAGAAUAUAUUUAUAUAUAAUUACUCAGAAAGAGUAGAAAUCUGCAAUUUUUUUCAUCACCUGUACCUGGGUGGUAAGACACUUUAUGUAAUGUGCAGUCUCAUCCAACAAGUUGCAUAAAUUCAUGGUUUCACCUCCUGGAACAAGCUGUCUUAGUUCAUCUGCCUCUUCAACAAACCCAACCCCAUCUUCCCUUCUUGUUGUAGUAUUCUCGUUACUUGAUUUUUUCAUGAUGGCUUGAUUAGUC